GCACCAGUAGUUUAACGGCUAGAAUAGAAGAUUUCCAAUCUUCGGGCGAGGGUUCAACUCCCUCUUGGUGCUCCA
rnacentral:tRNA from 1 species